AAAAAAAAGGAUUUAAACCCAAAGUUAACAUAUAUAUCAUGUCAGAUUUGCUCUCUGCAGAGCCAUCGGGAAAACCUCAAUUUUUCCCACUGCGAACUGCAGCGCUGGUGUCACCCUUCGCAGGGGAGGCCGGUUCCCUUGUUGGAGAGCUGUCCCACAGCAGGAUGGAGCCCAGGACACGCUGGGGGAAGUGCAGCUGGAGGCUGCCCCUGUGUAAUUAGCGGAGCUGGGCUUUGGCUGAGGACUGGCAUUUGACUCAUCAAAAAACCUGCUGAGAACACAUAUUUAAAUAAAUAAACAUAAAAGCCUAUUUUUAAGAGUGUCCUUUCAACACUUCUUGGAUUUCACUGCACCCUAAGCACUGUCAGUAAAAGAUCUCUCUUCCUGCAGCCCACGUGUUAAGGGAAGGGCCCUGCUUUGCCCAGAAGUCCCAGCCCAGGGAAGGGUUAUGUUUUAUGGGUUUCACCACGAUGUCUUUGUGCACUCUUUCCAUUGGUACUGCAGAAGGCUGUGACAUGGGAGAGCUUCUGCCACCAGCUGCUGUGGUGUGUGUGUGCUGGCCACCCCCUCCCCGAGCAGAGGAGCUCUUCAGAGGCCUGUGGGUGUAUGAAAACAACAAGAACUGGGCCUCAGAGCUGAACCUCUCCUUCCCAGCAGAAACUUUGCUCUGGUUCCAGUUCUGUGAGCUUUGUUUCUGCUCCUCAGUGUGGCCGAGGCUGAGGUCUGUGAAGACUGGCUGGCCUCAGAGAGCCGGUGUGGGGCAGGCUAUGGGAUUUCAGCCGGGCAAGGCGUUGCUGGGCUUGGGCCUCAGCUCCCUCAGCUGAGGC